AGAUUAAGUUAUUAAGGGCGCACGGUGGAUGCCUUGGAACUAGAAGCCGAUGAAGGACGUUACUAACGACGAUAUGCUUUGGGGAGCUGUAAGUAAGCUUUGAUCCAGAGAUUUCCGAAUGGGGAAACCCAGCAUGAGUUAUGUCAUGUUAUCGAUAUGUGAAUACAUAGCAUAUCAGAAGGCACACCCGGAGAACUGAAACAUCUUAGUACCCGGAGGAAGAGAAAGAAAAUUCGAUUCCCUUAGUAGCGGCGAGCGAAACGGGAAGAGCCCAAACCAACAAGCUUGCUUGUUGGGGUUGUAGGACACUCUAUACGGAGUUACAAAGGACGACAUUAGACGAAUCAUCUGGAAAGAUGAAUCAAAGAAGGUAAUAAUCCUGUAGUCGAAAAUGUUGUCUCUCUUGAGUGGAUCCUGAGUACGACGGAGCACGUGAAAUUCCGUCGGAAUCUGGGAGGACCAUCUCCUAAGGCUAAAUACUCUCUAGUGACCGAUAGUGAACCAGUACCGUGAGGGAAAGGUGAAAAGCACCCCGGAAGGGGAGUGAAAUAGAACCUGAAACCGUGUGCUUACAAGUAGUCAGAGCCCGUUAAUGGGUGAUGGCGUGCCUUUUGUAGAAUGAACCGGCGAGUUACGAUUUGAUGCAAGGUUAAGCAGUAAAUGUGGAGCCGUAGCGAAAGCGAGUCUGAAUAGGGCGUUUAGUAUUUGGUCGUAGACCCGAAACCAGGUGAUCUACCCUUGGUCAGGUUGAAGUUCAGGUAACACUGAAUGGAGGACCGAACCGACUUACGUUGAAAAGUGAGCGGAUGAACUGAGGGUAGCGGAGAAAUUCCAAUCGAACCUGGAGAUAGCUGGUUCUCUCCGAAAUAGCUUUAGGGCUAGCCUCAAGUGAUGAUUAUUGGAGGUAGAGCACUGUUUGGACGAGGGGCCCCUCUCGGGUUACCGAAUUCAGACAAACUCCGAAUGCCAAUUAAUUUAACUUGGGAGUCAGAACAUGGGUGAUAAGGUCCGUGUUCGAAAGGGAAACAGCCCAGACCACCAGCUAAGGUCCCAAAAUAUAUGUUAAGUGGAAAAGGAUGUGGCGUUGCCCAGACAACUAGGAUGUUGGCUUAGAAGCAGCCAUCAUUUAAAGAGUGCGUAAUAGCUCACUAGUCGAGUGACACUGCGCCGAAAAUGUACCGGGGCUAAACAUAUUACCGAAGCUGUGGAUUGUCCUUUGGACAAUGGUAGGAGAGCGUUCUAAGGGCGUUGAAGCAUGAUCGUAAGGACAUGUGGAGCGCUUAGAAGUGAGAAUGCCGGUGUGAGUAGCGAAAGACGGGUGAGAAUCCCGUCCACCGAUUGACUAAGGUUUCCAGAGGAAGGCUCGUCCGCUCUGGGUUAGUCGGGUCCUAAGCUGAGGCCGACAGGCGUAGGCGAUGGAUAACAGGUUGAUAUUCCUGUACCACCUAUAAUCGUUUUAAUCGAUGGGGGGACGCAGUAGGAUAGGCGAAGCGUGCGAUUGGAUUGCACGUCUAAGCAGUAAGGCUGAGUAUUAGGCAAAUCCGGUACUCGUUAAGGCUGAGCUGUGAUGGGGAGAAGACAUUGUGUCUUCGAGUCGUUGAUUUCACACUGCCGAGAAAAGCCUCUAGAUAGAAAAUAGGUGCCCGUACCGCAAACCGACACAGGUAGUCAAGAUGAGAAUUCUAAGGUGAGCGAGCGAACUCUCGUUAAGGAACUCGGCAAAAUGACCCCGUAACUUCGGGAGAAGGGGUGCUCUUUAGGGUUAACGCCCAGAAGAGCCGCAGUGAAUAGGCCCAAGCGACUGUUUAUCAAAAACACAGGUCUCUGCUAAACCGUAAGGUGAUGUAUAGGGGCUGACGCCUGCCCGGUGCUGGAAGGUUAAGAGGAGUGGUUAGCUUCUGCGAAGCUACGAAUCGAAGCCCCAGUAAACGGCGGCCGUAACUAUAACGGUCCUAAGGUAGCGAAAUUCCUUGUCGGGUAAGUUCCGACCCGCACGAAAGGCGUAACGAUUUGGGCACUGUCUCAACGAGAGACUCGGUGAAAUCAUAGUACCUGUGAAGAUGCAGGUUACCCGCGACAGGACGGAAAGACCCCGUGGAGCUUUACUGUAGCCUGAUAUUGAAAUUCGGCACAGCUUGUACAGGAUAGGUAGGAGCCUUUGAAACGUGAGCGCUAGCUUACGUGGAGGCGCUGGUGGGAUACUACCCUAGCUGUGUUGGCUUUCUAACCCGCACCACUUAUCGUGGUGGGAGACAGUGUCAGGCGGGCAGUUUGACUGGGGCGGUCGCCUCCUAAAAGGUAACGGAGGCGCUCAAAGGUUCCCUCAGAAUGGUUGGAAAUCAUUCAUAGAGUGUAAAGGCAUAAGGGAGCUUGACUGCGAGACCUACAAGUCGAGCAGGGUCGAAAGACGGACUUAGUGAUCCGGUGGUUCCGCAUGGAAGGGCCAUCGCUCAACGGAUAAAAGCUACCCCGGGGAUAACAGGCUUAUCUCCCCCAAGAGUUCACAUCGACGGGGAGGUUUGGCACCUCGAUGUCGGCUCAUCGCAUCCUGGGGCUGUAGUCGGUCCCAAGGGUUGGGCUGUUCGCCCAUUAAAGCGGUACGCGAGCUGGGUUCAGAACGUCGUGAGACAGUUCGGUCCCUAUCCGUCGUGGGCGUAGGAAAUUUGAGAGGAGCUGUCCUUAGUACGAGAGGACCGGGAUGGACAUACCUCUGGUGUACCAGUUGUCGUGCCAACGGCAUAGCUGGGUAGCUAUGUGUGGACGGGAUAAGUGCUGAAAGCAUCUAAGCAUGAAGCCCCCCUCAAGAUGAGAUUUCCCAACUUCGGUUAUAAGAUCCCUCAAAGAUGAUGAGGUUAAUAGGUUCGAGGUGGAAGCAUGGUGACAUGUGGAGCUGACGAAUACUAAUCGAUCGAAGACUUAAUCAAAUU
rnacentral:rRNA from 1 species